GGUGACAAACCGGAGGAAGGUGGGGAUGACGUCAAGUCAUCAUGGCCCUUAUGUCCAGGGCUACACACGUGCUACAAUGGGUGAGACAGAGUGACGCGAAGCCGCGAGGUGGAGCAAAUCGCAGAAAAUCAUCCGUAGUUCGGAUUGGAGUCUGAAACCCGACUCCAUGAAGGUGGAAUCGCUAGUAAUCGCGCAUCAGCAUGGCGCGGUGAAUACGUUCCCGGGCCUU
rnacentral:rRNA from 1 species